ensembl:lncRNA
AAACUUCUGACCUACUGGGAAUGUGAUGAAAGAAAUGAAAGCUGAAAUAAAUCAUUCUCUCUACUAUUAUUCUGACAUUUCACAUUCUUAAAAUAAAGUGGUGAUCCUAACUGACCUAAAACAGAGAAUUUUUACUCGGAUUAAAUGUCAGGAAUUGUGAAAAACUGAGUUUAAAUGAAUUUGGCUAAAGUAUAUGUAAACUUCCGUAUACAGCCCCCUCCCACACACAGUCAUACCACACGUUGUCGACAAGCAUCACAUAUCCUGUCUGGCAUCAUGGGCAGGUAGGAGGAGUCGAUGUUUGGCAGAAUCCUCACAUCCUUCACAGUCACCUCCUCCAGAGAACACUCAUAGGGCGGCGCACAAUUGGCCCAGCAACGUCCGGGUUAGGGUUUAGCUGGGGUAGGCAGUCAUUGUAAAUAAGAAUUUGUUCUUAACAGACUUGCACGGUUAAAAAAACAUUUGGGGUAGUAGCACUGUCAGAGCGGUGCUCACUGAGGAGGAAAGGGGGUGCUGAGAUGCUUUAAGUCAAUAAACAUAGAUAACUGAUUCAAAUCGAUAUCUAAUGUGGCCAAAGAGAGUGUAGCAAGGCUUUGGCAAUGAUGUGGUGUUGACAAGUGUGGGUGUACCCUGUGCUUUGAAGGUGUUGAGGUGUGUGUGUGAGGGGGACUCACUGCUGUAGGAUGCUAUGGUAGCCAUGUUCCUGAACCACCGCCUCACCAUCACCUUGACAAACACACACAAUAUGCAGAUAAUGAGCCCCUCAAAGAUGUCAUUCUUCACACUUCAUUUAAAACCUUCCAAGGGUACUCUAUGAAUUGCUUAUCUCUAUGAAAAAUGUGAAGACCUUGUUCACAAGACUGAAGUUUUGCCCAGCCCCUAACUCACACAAUUGACAUCACAUUUAUUUACAUUUAUUUAUUAUGCAGUUUAUUUUACAAACAUGUAUUAAUCAAGGCAGAGCCCCACAGUUACCCAUGUGGGCCCCCUAUCUCCUCUCCUACCCCAUCUGAUGAUUAGCAGAGCUGCAUUAGACAGCAGCAGGCUGUCUACACUCAUUGAGAGUGGGCUCCUGAGUCCUCCUGUGGUUGGCAGUUGCAGUAAAAAAAAAAAAUACAUAAUAUAUACUACAUAUAAUAUAUACAGUAUAUAUUUCCUUUUUGUUAAAACAUUUUUUACAUUUGCUUAGUAUUGGGGCUCACCACAUGCCUGGGCCCAAGGGUUUCAGCCCUGGUAAGCCUGUGCAUACAUUCGGCCCUGGACAUAUAGAAAAGACACAGAUAAAUACAUUCCUAGGACACCAAAGUUCCACAACCAACACACAAUACGAAUAACCCAUGCAAUGCCAGUCCCCUCAACCUUAGUAUCGUGGUCAGUCUGUAUCCAUGCCUGUCACACUGGGGUUCAAUUCCCUGACCGAAACCAGACGUUUGCCCUUCCAUGGAUAUCAUUCGCGAUUUGACUGUUUUCAGAAAGUAAGCGGUGUAAAAAAAAAAAUUCAUACUUCCCAGGUGAAUAAGGAAAAGUUAUGUAAAAUGUAACAAAUUAAAACUUUAUUUUUACAUUUUGGUACUAAACAAACAGAGCUGUACUAACGGUUCGCCAUCUUGCCCAGAAAAAGUCUAGUUCAUCUAGCUAGCUGUGUAGCGCACAUGAUAACACAAUCCCUUCGUCAGAAGAGCACUGCUUAUAAACAAUUGUGAGGAUUGUCUAAAUGAUCCGCGUAGUCACGGCCCCAUUGUAUAAUCGCUUGUUAGUAUAAAUAUGUUCUUACCUAUUGAGUGAGUUAAGUAGGCAAUGCUGUGGCCAAGUGUAGUGGCGAGUGUCUCGGGGGCUUUCAGAAAAAUCAUUAGGCAUAUCAUGGUCAUGUUCAGGGCACAUAACAUAAAAUGUUUUGCAUGUGUUUCUUCAGGUUGUCCCUCCCAGUUUCGACUUGUUUUGUUCCCAGCGUAUAUGACCCAGAUGAACGUCAUCAAAGUUGUUGAAGGACACCGAACCUGCAAUAGUAGCCAAAAUUGUAAUCAUAUUCAGUUGUGGUUUUGUUUGUAGGUUACACCUCAAUAUCAAAGUAACCUGAAAGGCUUCGGAACUGAACGAUUUAAUGCCAGUCCACUCAACCUUGUCCGUAUCCAUGCCUGUCACACUGGUGUUCAAUUCCCCGACGGAGAGGCCAGACAUUUGCCCUUCCUUACUAGCGUUUAACCAUUUUAUUUAUAAAAAAUGUUUUGGUCAUACUUACAAUAUGUUCUAUUUCUACAGGGUCUAGUAUCUCACCUGGCUAUUAAGGGUAGUGGGGUUGUAGUCACAAUCAAUCAGUUUCCGUAGUGUAGUGGUUAUCACGUUCGCCUAACACGCGAAAGGUCCCCGGUUCGAGACCGGGCGGAAACACUUUUUCAUGCCAUUAGAUGGUUAUCAAUUAAAACUUCACAUUGAGGUCCACAUGCUGUUUCCACGUUUUUAUAAUGUUAUUUUUUUGUAUUUAUUUAACUAUGCAAGUCAGUUAAGAACAAAUUCUUAUUUACAAUGACUGCCUACCAAAAGGCAAAAGGCCUCCUGCAGGGAAUGGCCCUGGGAUUAAAAAAAUAAAUACAAUAUAUAUAAGGGACCAAACACACAUCACAACAAGAGAGACAUACAACACUACAUAAAGAGAGACCUAAAGACAACAACUUGACAAGGCAGCAACACAUGACAACACAACAUAACAACAACAUGUUAGCAACACAAAAACAUGGUACAAGCACUAUUGGGCAAAGUCAACAGCACAAAGGUCAAGAAGGUAGAGACAACAAUACAUCAUACAAAGCAGCCACAACUGUCAGUAAGAGUGUCCAUGCCUGAGUCUUUGAAUGAAGAGAUUGAGAUAAAAAUGUCCAGUUUGAGUGUUUGUUGCAGAUCAUUCCAGUCUAGCUGCAGCGAACUGAAAAGAGGAGCAACCCAGGGAUGUGUGUGCUUUGGGGACCUUUAAUAGAAUGUGACUGGCAGAAUGGGUGUUGUAUGUGGAGAAUGAGCGCUGCAGUAGAUAUCUCAGAUCGGGGGGAGUGAGGCCUGAGAGGGUUUUAUAAAUAAGCAUCAACCAGUGGGUCUUGCAAUGGGUAUACAGAGAUGACCAGUUUACAGAAGAGUAUAGAGUACAGUGACGCGUCCUAUAAGGAGCAUUGGUGGCAAAUUUGAUGGCCGAAUGGUAAAAAAACAUCUAGCCGCUAGAGAUCACCCUUACCUGCCGAUCUAUAAAUUAUGCCUCCGUAAUCUAGCAUGGGUAGGAUGGUCAUCUGAAUCAGGGUUAGUUUGGCAGCUGGGGUGAAAGAGGAGUGAUUACAAUAGAGGAAACCAAGUCUAGAUUUAACUUUAGCCUGCAGCUUUGAUAUGUGCUGGGAGAAGGACAGUGCUCUUCUCCCAAGUACUUGUAUGCAGUGACUACCUCAAGCUCUAAACCCUCAGAGUUAGUAAUAACACCUGUGGGAAGAGGGGAAUUCUUCUUACCAAACCACAUGACCUUUGUUUUGAAGGUGUUCAGAACAAGGUUAAGGGUAGAGAAAGUUUGUUGGACACUAAGAAAGCUCUGUUGUAAAGCAUUUAACACAACAUCUGGGGAGAGGCCAGCUGAGUAUAAGACUGUAUCACCUGC